GAUUCAUUUUCUCAGGUAACGUAGCUAACGCGUGGAAGUUGACCGCCUGGGGAGUACGGUCGCAAGAUUAAAACUCAAAGGAAUUGACGGGGACCCGCACAAGCGGUGGAUGAUGUGGAUUAAUUCGAUGCAACGCGAAAAACCUUACCUACCCUUGACAUGCCACUAACGAAGCAGAGAUGCAUUAGGUGCCCGAAAGGGAAAGUGGACACAGGUGCUGCAUGGCUGUCGUCAGCUCGUGUCGUGAGAUGUUGGGUUAAGUCCCGCAACGAGCGCAACCCUUGUCUCUAGUUGCUACGCAAGAGCACUCUAGAGAGACUGCCGGUGACAAACCGGAGGAAGGUGGGGAUGACGUCAAGUCCUCAUGGCCCUUAUGGGUAGGGCUUCACACGUCAUACAAUGGUGCGUACAGAGGGUUGCCAACCCGCGAGGGGGAGCUAAUCCCAGAAAACGCAUCGUAGUCCGGAUCGUAGUCUGCAACUCGACUACGUGAAGCUGGAAUCGCUAGUAAUCGCGGAUCAGCAUGCCGCGGUGAAUACGUU
rnacentral:rRNA from 1 species